rnacentral:rRNA from 1 species
UACGUAGGGGGCAAGCGUUGUCCGGAUUUAUUGGGCGUAAAGAGCGUGUAGGCGGCCUGAAAGGUCAGCUGUGAAAACUCGAGGCUCAACCUCGAGACGUCGGUUGAAACCAUCUGGCUAGAGUCCGGAAGAGGAGUGUGGAAUUCCCGGUGUAGCGGUGAAAUGCGCAGAUAUCGGGAAGAACACCCGUGGCGAAGGCGGCACUCUGGGACGGUACUGACGCUGAGGCGCGAAAGCCAGGGGAGCAAACGGG